UACGUAGGGACCAAGCGUUGUUCGGAUUUACUGGGCGUAAAGCGUGUGUAGGCUGCUACAUAAGUCGGAUGUGAAAGCCCCGGGCUCAACCCGGGAAGUGCACUCGAUACUGCGUAGCUUGAGUCUCGGAGAGGUUGGUGGAAUUCUCGGUGUAGAGGUGAAAUUCGUAGAUAUCGAGAGGAACACCGGUGGCGAAGGCGGCCAACUGGACGAAGACUGACGCUGAGACACGAAAGCGUGGGGAGCAAACAGG
rnacentral:rRNA from 1 species